rnacentral:rRNA from 1 species
UAGGGAAUCUUCGGCAAUGGGGGGAACCCUGACCGAGCAACGCCGCGUGAGUGAAGAAGGUUUUCGGAUCGUAAAGCUCUGUUGUUAAGGAAGAACGAGUGUGAGAAUGGAAAGUUCAUACUGUGACGGUACUUAACCAGAAAGGGACGGCUAACUACGUGCCAGCAGCCGCGGUAAUACGUAGGUCCCGAGCGUUGUCCGGAUUUAUUGGGCGUAAAGCGAGCGCAGGCGGUUAGAUAAGUCUGAAGUUAAAGGCAGUGGCUCAACCAUUGUAGGCUUUGGAAACUGUUUAACUUGAGUGCAGAAGGGGAGAGUGGAAUUCCAUGUGUAGCGGUGAAGUGCGUAGAUAUAUGGAGGAACACCGGUGGCGAAAGCGGCUCUCUGGUCUGUAACUGACGCUGAGGCUCGAAAGCGUGGGGAGCGAACAGGAUUAGAUACCCUGGUAGUCCACGCCGUAAACGAUGAGUGCUAGGUGUUAGGUCCUUUCCGGGACUUAGUGCCGCAGCUAACGCAUUAAGCACUCCGCCUGGGGAGUACGACCGCAAGGUUG